UAGUCUCAAAUUCCUGGGCUCAACUGAUCCUCCCACCUCAGCCUCCCAAAAUGUUGUGACUACAAACAUGAUCACCGUGCCCAGCCUACCUUAAACCUUCUAGCUAUGCUCUCCCUCUUUCAGGUGGACCCAAGUGGGGAGAUUGUGGAACUGGUGAAAGGUGCAUGUCCCUGGAAGGAGCAUCUCUACCACCUGGAAUCUGGGCUGUCCCCUCCAGUGGCCAUCUUCUUUGUUAUCUACACUGACCAGGCUGGACAGUGGCGAAUACAGUGUGUGCCCAAGGAGCCCCACUCAUUCCAAAGCCGGCUGCCCCUGCCAGAGCCAUGGCGGGGUCUUCGGGACGAGGCCCUGGACCAGGUCAGUGGGAUCCCUGGCUGCAUCUUCGUCCAUGCAAGCGGCUUCAUUGGCGGUCACCGCACCCGAGAGGGUGCCUUGAGCAUGGCCCGUGCCACCUUGGCCCAGCGCUCAUACCUCCCACAAAUCUCCUAGUCUAAUAAAACCUUCCAUCUCAUA
rnacentral:sRNA from 1 species